UACGGAGGGGGCUAGCGUUGUUCGGAAUUACUGGGCGUAAAGCGCACGUAGGCGGAUAGUUAAGUCGGGGGUGAAAUCCCGGGGCUCAACCCCGGAACUGCCUUCGAUACUGGCUGUCUUGAGGAUGGGAGAGGUGAGUGGAAUUCCGAGUGUAGAGGUGAAAUUCGUAGAUAUUCGGAGGAACACCAGUGGCGAAGGCGGCUCACUGGCCCAUUACUGACGCUGAGGUGCGAAAGCGUGGGGAGCAAACAGG
rnacentral:rRNA from 1 species